GCCCAGCUAGCUCAAUGGUAGAGCACGAGACUCUUAAUCUCGGGGUCAUGGGUUCGAAGCCCACGUUGGGCG